ACUGGAUCUAAACAUAGCGGAGGUGCUCUAUCAAAAGUUUGAAAUCAUCCCUCGGGUUCUUAUUGGCUGACGCAAAUGGAAUUCAAACUUCCUAUCUGCAGUGUAGAUAUUCCAGCUCCUGCUUCCCGAAAAUCAGCUUACUCGAAGAGGACAUGACCUUUCCAUAUACCAGUGU